CUGGUGUCUAGUUUUCUUGCCACGCGCGCAAAGCAUCAAGGGAUAGAUCAUCACACCUCCGAUAUUUUUUCAAGUCGGUGUUUGUCAAGGAUUUUACUACAUCCCGGGCGUUCUUUGUCAGUGCCCGCGAUCACAAUUAGAAUUACCAGCGGUUGAGUUCGCAACUCAAUAUUCAAACAUUUUCAACCAGAUAAAAAAAGAUUAAAACUUUUUUAAAGCACUUUAGAUUUUAUGCCGAUCCCAAACACUAACCGGCCUAACUUUAAAAGAGUUAAAAAAGGAAGGAAGAAAAAAAUUACCAAAAAUUGAGAAAAAUAGCUAAAUCAGAUAAUAAAUGUUCGGCAUCGAUCCCCACCCCGACUGCGUUUCACUUUCGGUACGCAGCGCCUUUACCGCUUGAGCUAACGACAAACUUGGUGAAGAUAACCGCAAACAAAAGUUUUUAUAUUGCUACAAAAUACGAAAUAACUCCCGUCUGUCCAGGCACUUGGUUAUUUUUUAUUUGAGCUGCUAUAAAUGUUACUAGCUCAUAUAAGAUAUGUGAAAUUAGUGCUAAAACAUAAACAGUUUUGUCAAAAAAUUAAAAGGCAAUAUGUCUGGAUCAAAUAAACUGACUAGAAGCAAACUGAUAUCUUGAAAUAUAGAUUAACAUGCUG